CAGCCUAACACAUGCAAGUCGAACGGCAGCACAGGAGAGCUUGCUCUCUGGGUGGCGAGUGGCGGACGGGUGAGGAAUACAUCGGAAUCUACUUUUUCGUGGGGGAUAACGUAGGGAAACUUACGCUAAUACCGCAUACGACCUACGGGUGAAAGCAGGGGAUCUUCGGACCUUGCGCGAUUGAAUGAGCCGAUGUCGGAUUAGCUAGUUGGCGGGGUAAAGGCCCACCAAGGCGACGAUCCGUAGCUGGUCUGAGAGGAUGAUCAGCCACACUGGAACUGAGACACGGUCCAGACUCCUACGGGAGGCAGCAGUGGGGAAUAUUGGACAAUGGGCGCAAGCCUGAUCCAGCCAUACCGCGUGGGUGAAGAAGGCCUUCGGGUUGUAAAGCCCUUUUGUUGGGAAAGAAAUCCAGCUGGCUAAUACCCGGUUGGGAUGACGGUACCCAAAGAAUAAGCACCGGCUAACUUCGUGCCAGCAGCCGCGGUAAUACGAAGGGUGCAAGCGUUACUCGGAAUUACUGGGCGUAAAGCGUGCGUAGGUGGUCGUUUAAGUCCGUUGUGAAAGCCCUGGGCUCAACCUGGGAACUGCAGUGGA
rnacentral:rRNA from 1 species